ensembl:Mt_tRNA
GUUUUUGUAGUUGAAUAACAACGGUGAGUUUUCAUUCCACAGGUUUUGGUUUAUGUCCAAGCAAGAAUU